UGGGGGAUAUUGCACAAUGGGCGAAAGCCUGAUGCAGCGACGCCGCGUGGGGGAUGAAGGCUUUCGGGUUGUAAACCUCUUUCGCUAUCGAACAAGGCCCGCUUAGGGUGGGUUGAGGGUAGGUGGAGAAGAAGCGCCGGCUAACUACGUGCCAGCAGCCGCGGUAAUACGUAGGGCGCGAGCGUUGUCCGGAAUUAUUGGGCGUAAAGGGCUUGUAGGCGGCUUGUUGCGCCUGCUGUGAAAACGCGGGGCUUAACUUCGCGCGUGCAGUGGGUACGGGCAGGCUUGAGUGUGGUAGGGGUGACUGGAAUUCCAGGUGUAGCGGUGGAAUGCGCAGAUAUCUGGAGGAAGACCGAUGGCGAAGGCAGGUCACUGGGCCAUUACUGACGCUGAGGAGCGAAAGCAUGGGUAGCGAACAGG
rnacentral:rRNA from 1 species